AGUGAACGCUGGCGGCAGGCCUAACACAUGCAAGUCGAACGGCAGCACAGUAAGAGCUUGCUCUUACGGGUGGCGAGUGGCGGACGGGUGAGGAAUACAUCGGAAUCUACUUUUUCGUGGGGGAUAACGUAGGGAAACUUACGCUAAUACCGCAUACGACCUACGGGUGAAAGCAGGGGAUCUUCGGACCUUGCGCGAUUGAAUGAGCCGAUGUCGGAUUAGCUAGUUGGCGGGGUAAAGGCCCACCAAGGCGACGAUCCGUAGCUGGUCUGAGAGGAUGAUCAGCCACACUGGAACUGAGACACGGUCCAGACUCCUACGGGAGGCAGCAGUGGGGAAUAUUGGACAAUGGGCGCAAGCCUGAUCCAGCCAUACCGCGUGGGUGAAGAAGGCCUUCGGGUUGUAAAGCCCUUUUGUUGGGAAAGAAAAGCAGCAGGUUAAUACCCCGCUGUUCUGACGGUACCCAAAGAAUAAGCACCGGCCAACUUCGUG
rnacentral:rRNA from 1 species